rnacentral:rRNA from 1 species
AACGAACGCUGGCGGCAUGCCUAACACAUGCAAGUCGAACGAGACCUUCGGGUCUAGUGGCGCACGGGUGCGUAACGCGUGGUAACCUGCCCUUAGGUUCCGAAUAACUCCCCGAAAGGGGUGCUAAUACCGGAUAAUGUCUUCGGACCAAAGAUUUAUCGCGUUUGGAUGGGCGCGCGUUGGAUUAGCUAGUUGGUAGGGUAAAAGCAUACCAUGGCGAGGUUCCAUAGCUGGUCUGUGAGGAUGAUCAGCCACACUGGGACUGAGACACGGCCCAGACUCCGACGGGAGGGAGCAGAGGGGAAUACUGGACAAGGGGCGAAAGCCUGAUACAGCAAUGUCGCGUGAGUGAGGAAGGGCUUAGUGUAGUAAAGCUCUUUUACCCGGGAUGAUAAUGACAGUACCGGGAGAAUAAGCUCCGGCUAACUACGUG